ensembl:lncRNA novel transcript
ACCAGUCACCAUGGCAGGGAUUCAAUAGCCCACUGUGCCACAGAGGGCAUGCCUUGGAUGUAGAGAGUGAAGACUUUCCACAACUUGUGAAUGAGCCCUCUGUGAGUUUAGCCAAAACAUUCAUGUCAAAGAAAUGGAAAUCUCAAAUAAAACCCAUCGCAGGCCAAGCUCAGGAGGGCUGGCUAGCCAACAAAUCCUGAACAAGGGGGUUCAAGGGAAAAGGAAAACAUGUGUUUCAUAGCAGGGUGAUGGUUGGGGCAAGAAGGCAUCUGCAGCCUGGGUCACUGGUAACCUGUCGUAGUGACUGAGCUGACACCAAGCCUUGCUCUGAAGCAGUUCAGAGACUGGAGAUGGGCAGUGUCACCCAUAUCAGGAAUAUUCCCUCAGAUACAGUCAGAAGAAUAUACAAGGAUAAAUGUACAAGGAACAGGAGGCCUGACGUCAAAAGCUCCCCCUCGUGACCAAAUCGACUGGGACUUGUUGGAUCCAAGAUGGCAGCUCACUUGACUUCUGAAGAACCUGGAACUUCAUUAUAAUCAAAUUUCCGUGCUAAAUGACAUUCCCGCGAGCACCAUGACAGUUGACAAUCACCAUGACAAUGACAGAAGAAACCAUAAAAUGACAAAAAGGAAGGCGGCAACUCUGGUUCUGAGUUUUCUGCCCAUUUCCAGAAAAGAUGUGAAUAUUCUUCUCUUUGCUUUUAAUGCCUGACCCUGUCAUUAGAGAUAUUCUGUAUCUGUGACUUCCUGGUUUUCAUAAGCUGAGAAGGUGAUUUGUGAGCCAAUCUCCUGGUUCUCAAUUUCAUGGCCAUUGAAUGAAGCUGGUACUGCUUGAUGCUCA